UACGUAGGCAGCGAGCGUUGUUCGGAGUUACUGGGCGUAAAGAGUGCGUAGGCGGUUUUCUAAGUUUGGUGUGAAAUCUCCCGGCUUAACUGGGAGGGUGCGCCGAAGACUGGAAGGCUUGAGUAUGGGAGAGGUAAGCGGAAUUCCUGGUGUAGCGGUGAAAUGCGCAGAUAUCAGGAGGAACACCGGUGGCGAAGGCGGUUCUCUGGGCCUUACCUGACGCUGAGGAGCGAAAGCGUGGGGAGCAAACAGG
rnacentral:rRNA from 1 species